GAGGCUUGUGGGCUCCAUGAAGGCCUUGCAGAAGCAGUUCGUGUCCUGGGACACAGUGGUGACGAGUGAGGAAGCCGACGCCAACACCGUGUACAGUGCCCUGGAGGCCAUGUUCAUCCACAGUCUGCACACCAAGCACAUCCUCACCGAGGCGGGAGACAAAAGGAAGAAGCGCACCCAAUAGAAGCCCUUGUUGCAGCCUGCCUUCUGUCCUCUCCUGAAAGCUGUCACCCACAACUUCCAAGGGUGUUGUCAGAAUUCAGCAAAGCCCAGGAGGACUCUGUGCCAACCUGCCAACUAAACCAGGAGGCAGCAAGCCCUGUGCUGCCCCGUAUGCACUCCAGCACACGCCCCCGCACUCCGCCACAUCAGUUCAGCCCUGCCUGCCCAACUCUUCUCCUGCGUUCCUUCAGACGGUGGAUCCUGGACUUGCCACUGCUGGGAACUGCCCCUGUUGUCUCUCAAAGCACGAAGCACUCCAUGCCAACAGCCUUCGAGUCCAGUGGGCGAGCUGACCAGUGCAGCCCGCCAGGGGAGAAGCCAGCCAGAGCCUCGGGAGGAUGGAGCCGGACUGAGCGUCCUGGUUCCCUCACCUACAAGCCCAGGUGUUGUCAGAAUUCAUCAAAGCCCAGGAGGACUCUGUGCCAACCUGCCAACUAAACCAGGAGGCAGCAAGCCCUGUGCCGCCCUGUCUGCACUCCAGCACAUGACUGUGUCCCUCCACAUCAGGUCAGCCCUGCCUGCUCCAGCCUUCUCCUGUGCAUCUCCAGACGGUGGUUCCUGGACUUGCCACCGCUGACCAGUGCAGCCCGCCAGGGGAGAAGCCAGCCAGAGCCUCGGGAGGAUGGAGCCGGACUGAGCAUCGUGGUUCCCUCACAUGCAAACCCAAAAGUGGUAACGUAGCUGUGGAAUAUAGGCCUUUUGAGGAACUCACUGAUGCCAGAACCGAAGGACUCCGUGAUUUAAUUCAAAGUAUGUGAAGAGAAAAAUGU